CCGGUGGUAAAUUAUUAAGCGCGAAACUAAAAGGGGCAUUUGGAUAAGUGCCAAACCUAAAAGUGGCAAAUAGUUAAAUUCCCCCCAAUGGUGAAGAGGAUGACAUGAGAGAGUGGGAAGGGGAUGAAUGAAGAAGAUAGGGGUAAUUUGGUCAAGAAAAAACAGAAAAUGUAUUGAAGGGGUAAGUAGUGGCAUAUAUUAUCAAAUAACUAUUGAAUUACAAUGGCAUGGCUUCAAAUAGAUAAAUAGUAAUGGUAUUUUUCAAAAUUGGUAAAUAUGUAAUGGCAUGGAUCCAAUUAACCCUUGAUAAAUCCAAUCACAACAAAAAAUAAUGGCAUAACCCUUGAUAUCCAAAAUGCGAAAAGAUGUGACAGAAACAGUUCCUUGAAUUUCAUAUGGUUGAAGGACACACUGAGCUACAGACUCCAGUGGACAAUGUGCCUCCAUUAGCCAUUGUUACUGAAAUUGGAGGAUGGUUGGAGAUUUCCAAAUUUGCCUUGUGCACCGAUGAACCAUUCACUGAGCCGAGUAUGUGCAAGACAAGACACGGCUAGAUAAGUCAAAUAGAAGAAAUUGCUUUUACACAAGCAACUCUUACCUUCACUUUGGGAGACAUGAAUAUCGUAGUACUGCCACUAUCAACCAGUGCAGUAGCAAGGAGAGAGCCAAUUUUAACUUGCAAGGUGAAGGUAGUUAUACCAGCAUUUAGACCAUUCAAAGCAUGCAGCGACACUUCAGGAGAAGGUUGAGGUUCAGUAGGACUGUCAGGAGUAGUGUAAAUAACAUCACCUGAAUAUUCAACUGGUAGGUCAUCCUCCUCCAUGGUAACCAAGUAAAGUUGUUAGUUUACUUUACACACUCUUCCAUGACCAGGGACCCACGGCUCCUGGCAUUUGAAGCAUUUGCCCCCUCCUCUGGUUUGGACAACAGGAAGAGAUUUGCGUCUGUUUGCAUUGGUUCCUUCUUGACAGGUUGCAUAGGGGAAUCCUUAAGAGCCACUUUAGGGUAAGAAUGAGCAGUGCCAGCUGGCUGUAUAGAAGAGAAGGUGGGGCUGUCAUAAUUGUGAGCAUGUUCAUAAGCUUGCAUCUUCAAAGACUUGAGAGGUCUUUUGAUAUGAUCCUUCAGUCCUAAGAUGAAGUAUUCCAAGAAGUAUUCUUCAUUGAGAUGGGGUUUAUUGUGUUUGACAAGAGGCAUAAUUUCUUCAAACUUGUCAAUGUAAUUGUCUACUGAGCCAUACUGACUUAACUGCAAACCGCUGGCACAACAUGGUGCAAAAUUCAGGCCAAGAAAGAGUAUCGGUAGGAAUAUCAUAACUUGAGAUCCACUGAUCUGCUUUGCCAAUGAUGUACACUUUAGCCAAAGGCACUUCAUCUUCUUCAGGGGUACGGGCCAGAGAAAAGUAUUUGUUGGCCUUUCAGAUCCAAGACUCAGGGUGAUCCCCAUCAAACACCGGAAAAUCCACAUGCUUAUGAUUACGAUUAAAAGGGUCACCAUAUUGAGGUCUUUUUCUGUAACUGUGAUCAACAGAAUCAUAACGAGUCUCCUCCUGUCUGUGCCAGAAUGGUGGUCCACGAUCAAGAGGUCGGUGGAAAUCAAAGGAGGGUGGGGGUGGAGGUGGUGGACUUGGUUGAUAACCCCAAGGAGAUUGAUAGGGAGGGUAGAAAUAUGGUGGUAAGGUAGGGUUUUGUCCAUUGGUCAUCAAUUGGCCAGUUCUAUACUGUGGAGGUGGAGGUGGAGGUAUAGGUGGUGUUCCAAAGUAAACUGAAGUGUUCCACUCCAGAUUUGGGGGCCACCGACUGAGCAUUUCCCGGGCGACAGAGUGUUACCUCGACCAUCUUGCCCUUGACAACCGAUGAUAGAUCCCAAAAUAUCUUGUAUCACCUCCAGAUUUUGCAUCACUUCGUCCUUGUGAUUCUUAGCCUGCACUGCCUGAUUCUGAAUCUGCUCUUGCAGCAUCUUAUUCUCUUCCCCAACCUUCUUCUGAAACUCCUCAAAAUUCACUCUCAAUUCCUCUACCGCGAUUUCCAUCUGACGGCCACCCCUCGCCAUGAGCAGCAACAACAGGUACAGAGAUUUUACAGAAGAAAACUACCUACGGCUUCUUCCAACCCUCCCUGCUACCACUUAAAGUAGUUGAUCCCCGAAUCGGACUCAAGGAUCUGGCUAUGGAAUUUUACAGAGGAACUCGUCCUCAAACCCUCACCAACGAAGGACCUCCAAAUUCGAUGGAUCUGGCCAAGAACCGAGUAGCUCUGAUACCUUUUGUCAGGAUCCGGGGGCCAAAUUCACCCAGACUCCUAAAAAAUAUUCAGAGUUUUGGGCUGAGAAUCUAACUAAUAGGAAUCCUGACAUUGUGUAACCAAAAGUUUGCUUCAUUCAGCUCAAUCUCUAGUCAAUUAUCUUCAGAUCAUUCAUCAAGUUACAUAAGUGCAUGACUUUAUAUGCCUUCUGUUCUGUAUCAUUGAUACCCUACAUCAUUACUGAAGAAUCACCAAGGAAACUUUUGCUAAUUGAACAGUGACAGCACAUUCCACAGAUAGGAUUGUGAUUUCUAAUUGAGUUCGUAAUUUUAGUUUACCAGCACAGAUAGGAAGAUGCCAUGGCACUGUGUUGUCCUGGACCAAAAAUGGUAAUCCCUCAGCUUUUUAAUAUAUGAUGUUAUUGACUUCUUAAGAUAUUUCGUCAUAAUAUUGAAAAAAAAUAAAUAUAAUUUAUUUUCUUUUGACUUGAUUUAUCAUUAAAAAAUUUAAGCAUGACCUAUAUUUUGUAUGAAAAAAUUGAAUAAGACAAAUGGUUAAAUAUAUGUAUAAAAGUCAACGUUUUCAUAUAUUAACAGCAUAUAUUAAAAAUCGGAGGAAGUAUUUCACGCUACCACGGAUUUCCUAGAUUUACAGUAUUAGUGAUUGGGUAACAUAAAAAAAAAUAGGGUUAAUUUGAUCUAUAUCAUUGCAAAUAUGUCUAUUCAAAUAAAUGCCAUUACAAUUCGUCUAUUUUUAGUUGUGCCACUCAAAUUUUAUAAAAUUGAAACCAUGCCAUCACCGCCACAUUUUUCAUCUUCUUCCUCAUCUACAUGUGGAGCCUACCCGUCAGAUUCAUCAUCAUCCUUCAUCCUUUCCCUUUUCUCUUUUUUUUUCCAUCUCUCUCCACCACUUCUUGGCCUCAUCCCAUGCACGUGGGCCUGUGGCGGACACCACUUCUCUCCUCGGCCUCCUGCUACUCGGUGGUGCAGUCUGUCAAGUCCUCGCCAUCUCGUGCUACUCGGUGGCGCAGUUUGUCAAGAGACUCAAGACGAAUGGCGGCGGCAACGUGUCGGCGGUCAGGGACCCCGACAUGUGGCGUGACGGCCUCCGCAUUGCCUCGGCCGUGAGGCCCUCCCCCGUGGCGUCGAGCCGCCGACUACUUCGAUCUUGGUUGGUCCAUUCUUGUUAAAUCCAAACAGAUGUUGUCCCUAGAUUGGAUGAGUUCAUUUGUCAAAUUGACAGUGAGAAAUGUGAAAUCUUUGCAGAGAAUGGCGUGGACGAGCACGGCAAGCCGACGCACAAGGUGGUGCACAGGGUGACGGACGCCGACAACAACCUCCGUGCCGGCAACCCGUUCCCCGGCGCGACGGCGAACAUCAUGAACAUGGUGGAGAGAAGUGGGAAAAAAAGAAAAGAGGAGAGGAUGGAGGAAGAAGAUGAAUCUGACGGGUGGGCCCCACGUGCAGAUGGGGAAGAAGAUGGAAAACGUGACGGCGAUGGCAUGGUUACAAUUUUAUAAAACUAGUAAUAUGCCCGUGCUAAUGCUACGGUGUUAUUGUAUUUUUAUAAUAUUCAAGAAACCUUUAUCUCUU